UGUUUUGCAUCGAAGAACCAGGGACGUUUGAAGAAACGUUUUCUAACUUUAAACAAGGAUUUUAAAAACUGUUCAUGGUGUGAAGAGCCUCAGAUUUCUUAUAUAAGGCACUGUUUCGGUUAAACAAACCACCAGUCUUCUACAGACCACAACGUAAAAAUGAACAAGUCAGCACUUCUCCUUUUGCUCGUCAUCGGACUCCUCGUUCUCACUGAAACCACUAACGCCCUCUCGGGUCGUCGCAGAUGGCAUGGAUACAACCAAGAGUCAGCAAGUGUUGAAGAAAAUGAUGUAAUGAUGAAUGAAAUUAUU